GACGAACGCUGGCGGCGUGCUUAACACAUGCAAGUCGAACGCUGAAGCUCAGCUUUUGUUGGGUGGAUGAGUGGCGAACGGGUGAGUAACACGUGAGUAACCUGCCCCCUUCUUUGGGAUAACGCCCGGAAACGGGUGCUAAUACUGGAUAUUCACUGGUCUUCGCAUGGGGGUUGGUGGAAAGGGUUUUUCUGGUGGGGGAUGGGCUCGCGGCCUAUCAGCUUGUUGGUGGGGUGAUGGCCUACCAAGGCUUUGACGGGUAGCGGGGCUGAGAGGGUGACCGGGCACAUAGGGACUGAGAUGAGGCCCAGACUCCGACGGGAGGCAGCAGUGGGGAAUAAGGCACAAUGGGCGCAAGCCUGAUGCAGCGACGCCGCGGGAGGUGUGGGGGCCUUCGGGUUGUGAACCUCGUGCGCCCAUGGUGAAGCCGCAACAAUGGUUGUGGUGAGGGUAGUGGGUAAAGAAGCGCCGGCUAACUACGUG
rnacentral:rRNA from 1 species